UAUGGUCUCAUGGCUGUUUGCAAAUGAGGUGUGACAGGCUCAGCCAUAGAGCAAGAACAGGUACUGUAAAUACAUUGCUUUUAAAAUCUAUCAGAAAUGCUGAGAAAUUGACCCGCUUUCCUGAUUAUUUUGGUCUUGUCUGUACUCUGGUCUCUUUGGUUAUGUGUUGUUCUUCAAUGAGUGUCAACAAGAGGAUCAGCAUUCGGUAAGUCCUCAUCAUAGCAAAGACUCCAUAGAUCCAGAGUUUCAGAAGACCUUUAUUACCGACAUACUGUCUACUUGGACAGAGACCAGCUCAGUAGUGUUAGUGAAUGGAACCGAUUGGCCCAUUUCAACAACCCCUUUAGUUUCAUGGGUUACAACUACAUAGGUAAUCUCUCUCGCUCUCUCUCUUUGAUUGAGUGUGUGUACACAUAAUAAAUGUUAUGACAAUUUGCUUCGGAAAAAUAUACAAUUUCUAAGUAGCCAAUGUCACUGGGCGAGUGGAUGGCAGCAAUUAGACUUGUUCUUUAAGCGCCUCAAACUUGGCAAUAGUGGUUACCUUGAAUAAAUGCAUGUUUAUCCGUAAUGUUGACGAGCAAUCUUCUGUAUCUUGUUUGCCGUUUCUUUCGUUUUCUUGCAUUUGUUUGCAAUAGUUUGAUUGUGGUAAGAACCAUGAGCUCUCCCACCAUCCACAUCCACACCAUACGUUCAAACACCUGCGUGUUUAUAGAUCACAUGAUGUGUGUUUACCACCAUUUGUCAGCCCCUAGUGGUCUGGAGUGUAAUGCCCGAAUAUUACCAUAAUAUAACAUCAACCCAAAUUAGCUCCAACACUAUAUGUGUUUCUGUGAAUAUAUCCAGUACCGUGUGUUAUACUGUGUUUAUAAUGUAUACCUCUGUAUUUAUGUGUCGUUUUAAAGGCAGCAGUGGAUUUGAUCCCUACGCCAGCGAGUCACCAGCUCCUGCCUGACCCUGUACCCAUGGCAGCAGGAGGUGGACAGGCACCUUGGACUACAAGAAGUACCCAAACCUCUACAACUACAACAAACACCACUCAGCAAUGGUAUUCUUCACCAAUCACGAUUAUAUACAGGAGAUGAAAAUAUGGACGAAUUUCCAUGACAACAAAUUAAUCAAACUGUACCUGGAAAAAUGACAUGAAUUUCACAUCUGAAGAUGUGAUCUCAUGUGAUUGUCACGCCCUGACCUUAGAGAGCCUUUUUAUUUCUCUAUUUGGUUAGGUCAGGGUGUGAUUUGGGUGGGCAUUCUAGUUUUCUAUUUCUUUGUUGGCCGGGUAUGGUUCCCAAUCAGAGGCAGCUGUCUAUCGUUGUCUCUGAUUAGGAAUCAUACUUAGACAGCCUGUUUUCCACCCUAGUUUGUGGGAUCUUUUUUUUGCACAGUUGCUGUAUAGCCCUGCAGAACUUUACGUUUGUUUAUAUUUUGUUGUUUUGUCUGUGUUUCCG
ensembl:lncRNA